rnacentral:rRNA from 1 species
AUUGAACGCUGGCGGCAUGCCUUACACAUGCAAGUCGAACGGUAACAGGUUAAGCUGACGAGUGGCGAACGGGUGAGUAAUGUAUCGGAACGUGCCCAGUCGUGGGGGAUAACUGCUCGAAAGAGCAGCUAAUACCGCAUACGACCUGAGGGUGAAAGCGGGGGAUCGCAAGACCUCGCGCGAUUGGAGCGGCCGAUAUCAGAUUUGGUAGUUGGUGAGGUAAAGGCUCACCAAGCCGACGAUCUGUAGCUGGUCUGAGAGGACGACCAGCCACACUGGGACUGAGACACGGCCCAGACUCCUACGGGAGGCAGCAGUGGGGAAUUUUGGACAAUGGGCGCAAGCCUGAUCCAGCCAUGCCGCGUGCGGGAAGAAGGCCUUCGGGUUGUAAACCGCUUUUGUCAGGGAAGAAAAGGUUCUGGCUAAUACCUGGGACUCAUGACGGUACCUGAAGAAUAAGCACCGGCUAACUACGUG